UACAGAGGGUGCGAGCGUUAAUCGGAAUUACUGGGCGUAAAGCGUGCGUAGACGGCUAUCUAAGUCGGGUGUGAAAGCCCCGGGCUCAACCUGGGAAUUGCAUUCGAGACUGAAUAGCUAGGGUACGGUAGAGGGAAGCGGGAAUUUCCGGUGUAGCGGUGAAAUGCGUAGAGAUCGGGAAGAACAUCGGUGGCGAAGGCGGUCUGACUGGGCCGUUGCUGGACGCUGAGGCGCGACAGCGUGGGGAGCAAACAGG
rnacentral:rRNA from 1 species